rnacentral:rRNA from 1 species
UACGGAGGGGGCAAGCGUUGUUCGGAUUUACUGGGCGUAAAGGGUGUGUAGGCGGCUGGAUAAGUCUGGCGUGAAAUCUUCACCGCUUAACGGGAAGGGGUCGCUGGAAACUGUUCAGCUUGAGUGUGGUAGAGGCAAACGGAAUUCCUGGUGUAGCGGUGGAAUGUGUAGAUAUCAGGAAAAACACCGGUGGCGAAGGCGGUUUGCUGGGCCAUCACUGACGCUGAGACACGAAAGCGUGGGGAGCAAACGGG